CACAUCUGCAGGCUGAUCUGAAUACCUUUAAUUAACUCUCACCUUUAACUUGUUUUUUUAAGUUUGGGGUCAUUAUGGAUCAGCAGACUCUCCGGGCCUCCUGCUGAAGUGUCUUUGAGCCAGACGCUGAACCUGUGCCAGGUACG
rnacentral:lncRNA from 15 species